GAUGAACGCUGGCGGCGUGCCUAAUACAUGCAAGUAGAACGCUGAAGCUUGGUGCUUGCACCGAGCGGAUGAGUUGCGAACGGGUGAGUAACGCGUAGGUAACCUGCCUCUUAGCGGGGGAUAACUAUUGGAAACGAUAGCUAAUACCGCAUAAAAGUCGAUAUCGCAUGAUAUUGAUUUGAAAGGUGCAAAUGCAUCACUAAGAGAUGGACCUGCGUUGUAUUAGCUAGUUGGUGAGGUAACGGCUCACCAAGGCGACGAUACAUAGCCGACCUGAGAGGGUGAUCGGCCACACUGGGACUGAGACACGGCCCAGACUCCUACGGGAGUCAGCAGUAGGGAAUCUUCGGCAAUGGGGGCAACCCUGACCGAGCAACGCCGCGUGAGUGAAGAAGGUUUUCGGAUCGUAAAGCUCUGUUGUAAGAGAAGAACGAGUGUGAGAGUGGAAAGUUCACACUGUGACGGUAACUUACCAGAAAGGGACGGCUAACUACGUG
rnacentral:rRNA from 1 species